rnacentral:lncRNA from 1 species
GUUUAGAUCAGAUGAUUUCUUACAGGUGUUUGACACAACUAGCACAGGCACUGCAGUAGUUAGGAAGAGGAAGAAGGCAGUAAGGACUCUUCAGUUGCAUGUGGAUUUUUGUAUGCAUGCUUGCAUGCUGUCAUGUUUUGCUUGGACAAAGGCAUGAUUUCCAGAUAAACCAUACCUUCCUGAAGAAAAACAGAUCAUUGAGAAUAAAAGCCUGGAAAAUGCUGCAAAGCUGUGCUGAUGGACCAGAGCAGCCAGGCCACUGACAAUCAAGGAAAGCAGCAGCAGGUUAUCAGAAUAUUCCCAGAUCAAUUGUUCCUGCUAAAACAACACGUACAUUUUUUUUCUUCACUGUAAAGUGCCGUGCCCCCAUCUGAGGAAUUAAACCUAGCUCUUAGUCUGGGAGUGCCAGGUGAGUGCUCUGGGUGAUAAAAUUUAUGGUGACCUGCCCUGAAUACGGCUUACCUGUUCCUUCUCAAGAGUUAGCAAAUUGAUAUUGCUUUGCAGAGACACAGCUGGAGCCAUGUUCUACCCAUAUCAAGAGCAUGAAGGUUUAAUAUCAAGACUGGGCAGAACCAUUGUAGGUGACCCAUUUAAUCCAGAGGAGAGCCAACAAUGUUAUACUUCUAUUUACUCAUCCCAGUAUGGUGUCUGAAUUGUAAUUUCACAAAGUCAGACCAUUUCUCUGAUGUGCCAAAGUAGAAAGUAUACGUUUCUAGUACGUGCCUAGAAGGGUAUCUAUGCUAUCACUUCAGUUAAAACAUUUUGUGUUUUAAACGAAAUUUAAAUUUUGUGAUAAUUUCCAAGGUAAUGGAACCUAAUACCACUGAGAUGGUAGUCAAGUGCAGUCAAACCUGUUUGAAGUAACUGAUAAAUACAUAAUUUUUUUUUUUCUUUUUUUUUCUGAAUGCAUCCACUGCUCUAAGUGGAUUUAGUUCUCUGCUUUAAGCUAUUUGAUGAAUUGACCAGAUCACAGAUCCUGGUUCUUUUUGAAGACUCUCCUGACAAGUACUACCACAGUAGGUAGUACUCUGAGUAGGAGUACUUACUACUUACUGAGUAAGAGUACUUACUACAGAGUAAGGCAGUGCUGUUGGAGAGCGAGGGAAGAGAUGACAGGGAAAAGGAGAUGCUGCUUCAAGACAUUUCCACUGCAGAGUUUGUGUGUGAAAUGCUAAAACAAACAAGCAAAACACCAAAAACACAAACAAAAAACCUACAGCCCUCAAGCAGUCCUAAUGUUUAAAAGCGUAAUUCAGAACUCACCAGAGUUGAGGGGGAUCUUUCCAUUAUAUUCAUUGGGCUUUAGCUCAAGCUGUGAAUGUUUAACAAAUGGUUGUUAUGUUCCAUUUAGAUAACUAUCUCUUCCUUUCUCUAUUUUCAGAUUGCUCAAAUUUGCUUUGCCCACAGCAUUAUUCUGUAUGUCAUUUGUCUCACUCUCUAGUGUUUCUAUGCCAGUGGCCUAACUUUAAAUGGGAUUUAGAUUAGCUAUAUAAUCAUUUUUUCUUGGUCUGUGUUGAACAAUAAUUCUUGUGUUCAAAUCACAAAGCAUUUAAGUCAGAUAAUGCCAUAGAGACUUAGGGGGUCAGUACUUUACAAGAAAAAUUAUAGGUUAGAAGGGUGGGACUUUGAUUUUUUAUUUUCAUUUCAACAUUUCCUUUCUCAUACCUCACUUGCUCAGGCCUUUGCAAAUGUUAACUAGUCAGUCACAUUAUUUUUCAAGAUAUGGGGAAUGAAGUUGGUGUAUUGGAUGAGGAGUGUAUCUAAGCAUAAGCAUGGUAGGUGAUGAGUGCCAAAUUCUCAGGUGAGCUUUAACCAAGCUCCUUUAACUUAUAUCUUUAACUACAGCAUGCUGUGCUGAUUUAUUUCCCCUGGUGACCAGGCCCAGCCAAACUCCAAAGCAGAAAGGACAGUCUGUAUAUAAGAAGGGAUGAGACUGCCAAGAGACAGGUCCUUCAUGCCUCUUGUUCCACAACAUAUGCACAAAAGUGCUAUUCCUUUAUACAUUUAAAAUAACACCUGGACCAUACAAGACCCAUUUCCUUCCCUGAACUACUGUAAAGAGUCAAACAUUAUUUAAAAAUUGAGUUUCUGGUAGAGUUUUCUCAUAAAUAUAUUGUGUUUGAUGAAAGGGGAAGAAAAAACAGUAACUUGUCAUUAUCAGUGCAAGUGUUUCUGUUUAUUGAGUCCUUAGAGUAAUUCCUGGAGGCUGAAAAAGUCCUCAGUGUUUCCUUGGGAUAUCAACAGGUGCUUCUGUCUGGAACAUUAUGAACUUCUUGGGGACUAACAAGUUAGGACAAAGAGACAUUUAUGGGGUUUAGAUUCUGUCCUGCACUUCAAUACAGCACUUUAUCCUAAUACAGCAAAUCAUGGCACUUAAACACAUGCUUUAACUUUAAUGGGCUAUUUCUUGUGCAUAUGUGUAAGUGCUUUGAUGAAAAGCACUUAAUGAGGGGAGAAGGAGGGUGUAAGAUAGGAAAUUACAGCAUCCGUAGAAAGAGUGAGGCAGAUAAACAGAAAUAUGAUUGUUGGAAGAAGGAGGCAGUGACUAGGCUGUGCUGAAUAGGGAAGAUUUACUAGCUGGAAAACAUCUUAUUAAAAUUUAAGGGGAGAGAGAGAGGCUUUAACCAGACAGUUUUUUUUUUUUUUUUAAAUAUAUAUAUAUAAAUAUAUAAAUAUUUAUAUUUUUUAUAUAUAUAUAUAUAUAUAUCUUUUCCCAGAAUGGUGAUCUCCAUGAGAGGGGCAAGGAGCUCACUUGAAGUAAUUUCACUCAAAUUAUAAGUGUCUGGCUUUAGGGCUGGAAAGAACUUUUGAGAAUUUUUCAUGAAGAAAAAGUUUGUCUUGAAAAAAUGGAAAAAAAUAAAAUAAAAAGAGGUUCAAAAGUAAGUUUUCA